rnacentral:rRNA from 1 species
AUGACAUCAACCAUGACGACCAAGGCCAGACGCGCGCCAGCGGACGCAGAGCAGCAGGUUUCCUCUUUGGUGCAAAGGAGGCAAGCACAGGUGUGGAGUCCCAAAGAAUCAGUCAAAGGUUGCCAUUUGCGUACAACGAGGCCAAGAUCGCCAGAACGGCAUGAUGGAUGUCAUCGCCGAGCCCACCACGACGUCACGCUCAGAGGCUUUGCACGCGAAGACCACCUUUCGUCAGGAUUAGAUGUACUUCUUGUCCCCUUUCAAAUUGCCGUCGUGAUCCCUUCCCGCCUAACUUUCGGAGGAAGAGGACCAAUGCCACUAUAA